rnacentral:tRNA from 1 species
AGCCCUAUAGUCUAGUGGCCAAGGAUACGACCCUCUGGAGGUCGGGACCCAGGUUCAAAUCCUGGUAGGGCUA